ACUUGCGAAGGUUGGGGGAAGCAAACAGGGAUUAGAAUACCCUGGGUAGUCCACGCCCUAAACGGAUGGGAUGCUAGUUGUUGGGAGGGCUUAGUCUCUCCAGUAAUGCAGCUAACG
rnacentral:rRNA from 1 species